rfam:Triticum aestivum genome assembly, contig: Triticum_aestivum_CS42_TGACv1_scaffold_500628_6BL
GUAGUAUUCCCUCCGUCCCAAAAUUCUUGUCUUACAUUUGUUUAGAUACGGAUGUAUCUAACACUAAAAUGUAACUAGAUACAUCCGUAUUUAGACAAAUUUAAGACAAGAAUUUUGGGAUGGAGGGAGUACAAA